CCGCCACCGCCCCAAAAUGGCGCAGGCGGGGGGUGAAGGGCACCGGCGGGAGGGGGCGGGGGGAGCCGGCGGCGCCACUCACCUGCCGAGCCGUAGAAUCGUCAGGGUUGGAAGACACCUUUAAGAUCAAGUCCAAGCGUCAGCCGAGCCCUGCCACUGUAACCCCUAAAGCACCAAACCGCAUCGCCCAGCGCCAGGUCCAGACGCCUCUUAAACACCUCCAGGGAUGGCACGGCAGAAGGGACCGGCCACCACCGCACUGCAACCUGCCUUCAGGUAGUUGCAUUGUUCUCCAGAAACACCGAUUGGUGAUGAUGUUUGCACGGAAGGUUGGCACAUGCUCUAGGGGUCAGUUAUUUCCACAUAUUACACCAAAAUUGAUGGGGUGUUCCUGCACUGAACUGAACUGAAACCAACCUCCAAAGCCUGGAUGCCACCUGUGUGCUACCUUUUUUGCCACAAGUUGUCCCGAUCGUUAUUAUACAUGAGGCUUUGCAGGAUGAGCACCUUGCUGUUAAAAGCACAGUCACUUAUGCCGGCCUGCGUGGUGCUUUCAUGUCAGAAUGGGGGUUGUAUGAGUGGUGUGGAAAAUGCAGGGGUGAAUACAGAUUCAUUGGUAGCCUGCAGUGCAUCACUCGGUGCUUCUCCCAACUUUCCCUCUCAGGGUCAGCUUCCAGUCGUGGCCACACACCCAAUGCGUGGCAGAAGAAUAAAUGCAGCUCAAUUCAAUUCUUUUGUCUUUUUUCAACCAAGUUACAAAAUAAUUACCCUCUCUCCCUUUACUUCAUUUUUGUCUUAAAUAAAUCACUAUUAGAUUUAGCAGUUUUCUGAUUUUCAUAGGAGUUUGAUCAUUGUUGUGCAACAUCAGGUUAGAUUAUCCUUGUUGUUUUAAUGCUCCUAAUAAUGAUUUUCUAGGUUCAUGAACAACAGAGCUCACUAUUUGUAGUGGUCAUUAUCUCUCUGAUUUGUGGUCACUUUCCGUGCAGAUGUUCCUGUGUACAGCUAUUUUGGUUGCUGUAUAAAUCAAAUUAUUUUGUCAAUGUAUCGACUGCACUGAGACUAAUCUGAAAUUUCUUGCAUAUGUUUCUUUUUUUGUCUUCUAAUGUACUUCCACGUCAUCACUAAGAAGGUUUAUUGUCUUGUCCUGUGGUAGUAAGAAUCCCAGCAGUCUGGCUAAAAGGAACAGACUGAGCAAUUACAAAACUCACUAAAAAGUAAGUGAGGCAGCACUUACAUUGCAGAAUGCUUACCAUCAGUUCUGAUAACACAAGUGGCAAAAAAUGUUUGGUGGGGCUGAAAACUGUGGUUUUAAAAGUAUGUUUGCAAAGCUAUCAUAAAAAGUAGGCAAGGAAAUGUAUUUUAUUAGCUGACUUUGAAAAUAUUUGUAUAACUCUGUUUGCAUCACUGUAUAUGUCCAUAUAUUUCUGCUUUUUUCAGAACGAUCUUGAGGUCAUUCAGAGCUCCUGGGAACUUAAGCUAUAUUUUUCUAUGUGCCAUAAAUCCAAAAUAAUUAACCGAAGUCAGUGCGGUUCCUGGGGAUUUGUGCUACUGUAAAUGAGAACAGAAUGGUCGUCUGACAACUCUACAUUUUGUUUCACAUAUCCCUGGAUACCCUUGUUGUGUGCAACAAGACAUGGAGAUACGAGCAGCGGGAUUUUAAAUGGAUCUACAUUUAUAAUUCCAGUUAAAAUCGAGAGGAAAGGAGUGGAAAACAAACAGAACCUUUUUCUCUUCUGUGCCAUGCUCACACCAAAACAACUGUCCAUCAGCUCUACUUCCUUCAAGUCCAGGAACACCGUGGUUAUGGGAGUGCUUAAAAAGCCUGCAAUUUUACUGUCAGAGGAUGCCGUUGACAUUCCUAGACAUGAAAAUACUUAAGAUUGCUGUAUGCUGUUUUUUGGUUUGUUUUUUUUUCACUCUAUAAAUGUCAUUCUGAACUGUGCUGCCUGUAUCAAAUAGCUCCUGGAACAUCCCUCCUAAUCAGUUCCUUUUGGGAGCAGGAUCGUCGGGCUCGUUCUGAAGCCGUGCCAGUGCCGGCAGUGCUUGGGGACUACAGAUGAGAUCUUUGUUACAGAAGCAUGAGAUCAAUUCACCAUUCCGGGCCAUGUAGUAAAUGCAUUCCUGACUGAACGUUACAUCGUUUUUAUUUUCCUGGGACAGCAUUGCACUGUGUCUCCUCUCUGAAAGAGCUAUGUUCAUUAGAUACAGGAAGUCCUGCUAAUCAUCCAUAACAUUACAUUAACAGCUGCUGGUGCGUCUUUGAAUGCCCAGUGAUGAGGGGAGAGUUUGCAAGAGAUUUGGCGCUUCUUUGCUGUGAUUGUUUUCUUCAGCAUGCUUUGGAAUCCGAAGUUCUGUAAAAAAAAAAGGCAGUUAAUCCUUAGGGUUGUGAGGAAAACUUUUAAAACAUGCACCAGAUGGAAAUCAAUGCAGUAGUGUCUUGCAAGCAGACAGAUAGGCUGAGAAGAAAUCUGAAGUCUGAUAUUAUUUGGAUUGAAGGAAAAAGAGCUGCAAAGCAGUCAUGCAGCUUAGAUAUCAUCGAUACAGAAUAUGCAAGUCUGCAGUGAGCUCUGUCUCAUUUCACAUCGUUGACAGCUUUGUUUUUGUCAGUGACUCAAGAUAAACCCGAUUUUCUCUCCUGUUGAUUUGUGCUCCCUUUCUUUUGUAUAGACAACUUCCUUUGGCACAUGAUAGCUGACUCAGGAACAGAGCUGACCGGAAAAAAAAGAUUUCCAGUCUAUAGACAAUAAAUUUAUACUUCUGCCCUUGUUUUAUGCACAUUUUUUUACAAAAAGAAAAAAAAAAGAGAGAGCAAAGAACAUGAUUAAUGAAUGGCGAGAUGUUUGAUUUGAACUGUUUUGACAUGUCUGAAACCCUUAUGUUGGAGUGGAUAAGCCUGGUGCCUGCUUUAUGUGUAGUGAAGUCUUCAGGAGUCUGUCCUGGGUGCCAGUGGUUACUCCUCAGCCCCAGCUUGGGAUCUCUGACACUUCUCUGUAGAUGAGAUAUAGCAGGAUUUCUGCACAUAAUUCUCCAGAACAAUCCAUUGUUCGUGUCACCAGGAGUCCUGCUUGUCCAGCUCCAGUCCAGUUUAUGGGACAAACUUUCUGCUGACAGUGUUGCUGCUUUUGGUAGAGGAAAUAUUAAUCCAACAUCCUCCUGGUCAUAGCAAAAUAAAUGGUAAAAUAAAUCCCAAGGUGGUUUACAGUGUUUAGGAGGAAAAAUACAUAGUAAAUCACAUCUUGUGCUCUUGAAUCCAAAUGAUUCCCCAAUGUCAGCAAUGAACAGGGGAUGUGAUUUCAGGGAGCUGGAUAUUCCAUGUGCCACAGAGGCGACGUGGGCCAAAAGCACAUGAAAGCACAUUCAUUCCUGGUCCUUCCAACACAGAAAAAUGCCCAUAACCAUAACAACCUGCUAAGGAGUGAGAGCUCUGCCAAAUGGAUAGCACAGAGCUGAUAGCAGCUGCUGGCUAAAACAGGUAGGCAGCUGGUAUCCAUGGAUGCCAUGGAGGGGAACUGCCCUAAGAGAUGGCAAAGGUAAAACGGUAAUAAUCAAAGAAAUGCCCAUCUGAUGAGUGUAGAUAUUUGCAUGCAGCACCUUCCAGCACACCUAGGUAGGUGCCUCACAGCUCUAGGUUGUUGAUACUCUGCAAGACCAUACAUGGUACCAUUUGCUUUAAUAGUAGCAAUUAGUGGGCCAGUACAAUAAACAGUGAUUUUAUGAAAAUGAGGACUGAUCCAUUCACAGAUGGAUCCGAGACAAAGAUUGAAUGCCAUGCUUGUCAUCAGUCAAUGCACUCCUCAAGGUGUUCAGUGUCCAGUGUAUGUUUUGCCAGAUAUUGUUAUGAGAUCCUUACAACAAACCAUUUAUUUUUGCACUUUAGCUGCAUUGCACAGGUAGCCUGGGCUGUCAGUAAUACCUGCUGUAUGUUCUAGUGCAGGCAGGCAGAAGAGCAGGUCCCAGAAUGUGCUCACAAAAAAUCAUUUUGUCCCUCAUUUUUGCUUGAUUCACCCUUGCAGGGAGAUGCCAUAUGGCAUUGCAAUAGGCAGAGUUAGCAGUAGGAAGCUACAGAAAGGCAGCUUUAAAAGAGAAAUUCAUUCACCAUUGGAGUACAACUUCCAAGGUAAACCGUCUCAUGGUGGCUGAUAGUUAACUUGCUAUUUUUUGGAAGUUCAUAGACAAGUUGAUAGAUUCUACCAAGUCUCAGCUGUGAUACAAGGCAAGUGGGGGUUUAUCUGGGGAGAAGUGCAUGGCAGAAAACACAUUGGUUCCAGUCCUCCACUAUCUCCUGUCUCCUCUUCCCUGGUGUCCCUCCUGUGUUCCCAGCAGGGAGUCUCAGGAAGACAAACUUCAGGCACCUUUUGUACCUGCAGCUCGGUGACAACAGGGCUGCUCCCUUGGUAUUCGAGGUGAUGUAGGGGAAAGAGGACUUAGGUUUCAUGUUUCUGCCUCUUCACCCUUCCUUUUACCCUCACCUCCCUUGAUUUUGGGAGUUCCGUGCUGCUGCGAGACAAGGAUGGGAGAUCUGGCUUUGAAGAAGAUGAAUCCUAGAACAGAACAGGAGCCUUCAGGCUGUUCUUUCUGCCUGGUCACAGGGAAUACAGUCAGUCUCUGCUGUCACCAGAUGCUACAUCCAGACAGGACAAGAUGUUUGAAGCCCUUGAGUGUUGUUAGUGUCUCCUGUCAGCCAACAGCACAAAAAAUGUAGCACUCGAGCUCCAAGUCCUGAAAAUUGGCCUUGAUUUAAUGAGAUUUCACAAUAAAUAAGCAUUUCAGUUUCCCUGCACUAUGAGUCUUUAAGGAUUUUGAGCUUUUCUGUGCAAACUUGGAGGCUUGAAAUGAAUUAUUAAGGUGAAAGAUAAGUCUUUCUUAUGAUUAUGAUUUCUUGUCUUUGUAUACUUAGGCACCCAUUCCUGUAGGAUAAAGAAACAUAUCAGAAGACUUGUUUUGAUAUCCUUGAAUCUGGAAACAGCUGUUUUUUUUAAAGCUGGAUGCUGUCGUACCAGAGAAUGGGACUGCUGUGAAUCCUGGGUUUAGCUGCAGAAGUAAUUUUAGCAGGCGCCCACAUGUGUUUAAUAAAGCCAGAUUUCCACCUUUCCAACUGCAGAUUUAGUCACAGCAGCGUAUUUUGUAGUUCCCACUCAAGCUGAGCUUUAUGUGAUAGUAAUGGCAAUGUUACUGAAGCAGGAAGAGUCGAAUCAAACACCAUUGCAAUCAAUCUCACAGUUGCCAGCUAGCAAACUGAGCAGGAGAGUGUUAAAUCUCCUCCAGCAAUGCUGUAUGGGAGACCUCCAAUCAUCUUUACCAAGUAAAGUGGAUCCUCCAAAUUAGGUCAUCUGUUUGCUUCAUUCUGAAAGAUUUUUAUUAAAAUGAAAAAAUGUUUUCUGUUUCUUGUCCCAGAGAGAAAACAAACAUUGGCAUCUAGAGUGGUGGAAGACAAACACUUGGUGCUGGGCAACUUGAUUAAAGUGUAUUCCUUGUAAUGAGCGGUGCCUCCCUUAUCCUGCCAUUGUGUUCAGACAAGGAAAAAAAAAAGGAGGGCCUGCCCUUUCCCAUUGUAUAGUCACAUUUUCCAAGUGCAGUAAAAAUGGGUUUUAUAAAAAGCCCUAAAAAAUAAAAAAAAAAAAAAAAGAAAAAAACGAACUCUGUCUUUUAGUAAACCACUGAAGCAACUCUUCAACGAAAACAAUCUUGUGCACCUUGUAUAUAGGAGAACUCCUGAAGUUAGUGCUCUGUCUAACCUACCAGAGAAGGAAGAUAAUACUGAUAAAAAAAGGUUUGGGAUAAGUGUUGUCUGAGCCUUCCUUAAAGGCUUGCUACUAGAAUCAAAGCUGAAUUUUAUUUGGGGAAGGUAAUAAAGGAAAAAGUGAUUUGCAGCAGAAGACUGUGUUUGUACUGUUAUAUUUUAAUCACUGCUAUCACCAAUACCAACAUCUACAUUUAUCUACCCAUGUACAUUAACCAGCAG